CCCAGUGCAUCAUUCAUUAAACAUAAGGCCCUACAGGAAAACCAGGGCUUCGUGUUCUCUGUGCCCCCUCCUGCAUCAGCCCUGACGUCAGUAGUUUCGAACCAUGGAAGUUAAAUUAAGGCCAGCGCAGUCUAAUAGGCAAGGGAGAGCAAAUGCUAAGAAGUCAAGGUAAUGAGAAAAUACCUGCCAUCUGGAGCUGUCAUAAGCACAAAUUUACAUUACUCCCCACAAAAUAAAUAAAUUACAGCCUGUGGAACGUUACUCUCCCUGGAUGCAAAGCCCCCCUCCUGCCUCUACCGCCAAAAAUUUUGGCCUCCCCCUUUUCCGCGUGAUCGUUGGCUUCUGCGGAAAGCCCUGGAGAGACGUGCAUGGGCACGGGGAGACAUCUGCAACCGCUGGCUGUUUAAGCGCAACGGCUGUAGUGGGAUCUGUUCGGCUGCAUCCGCUCGCUCCCUUCCUUGCUCUGACAGAAAGUUUUCCUCCCGGCUCUGACAGCACCGCGGCCACUUGGGGAAGCACAUGACUUCCUCGGGAGAUGGUGUUUCUUAUUUGUGUUGCAGGCCUCCAGCAGGCAUGGCACCGAGGCAAUAUUUAUAUCAGUUUUUGUAACGUCGUCGCAGCAGCUGCAAUUUUGGGAACUGAAGUGCUGGCUGGAAGUGGAGAGAGAGAGGCACAAAGCACACCAUGCCAUGUAGAAAUCAGAGUGGAAGGUGAAGGGGAAAAAAAAAAGAAAGAAAGAAAGAAAAUCGGCAACCGGUCUCCUUCCCUGGAAAGCUCGUCGUGUUCCUGGGGGCCAGGGGUGCCGCUUGCCCUCCAGAUGGUUAUCACAGGGCCCAUCUGUGUGAAAGAAUGUGACCUGGUUCUCUCUUCUUCUGCCUUCUGGCUUGAUUUCAGUGGUGUUAAGCCAGCAGAGAUUUGAGGCUUCACUGAUGCUGUGGGCCUGGAAGUCAUAGCUGGCUGAGUGGAGUCCUCUUCACUGUGUCUCCUCGCUCCUUCAUCCACCCUCCAACUGAGGCAAAUAAGUGAUGUCAGAGGGGCUCUCCACUGUCCAUGCAUGCUCUUAGUAGGUGACUUGUACCUCUGCUGCCAAACAGCAGCAGCUGGCAG
rnacentral:lncRNA from 1 species